rnacentral:rRNA from 1 species
AGGUUGAGAUUCCUGUACCAGUUAACUGCGUUUGACGAUGGAGGGACGCAGGAGGCUAAGCAAACCGUACGACUGGAAGAGUACGGUCAAGCAGUAAGUCAGGAUGUGAGUCAAAUGUUUACAUCCGUGUUGACAAGCUGUGAUGGGGAGCGAAAUUAAAGUAGCGAAGUUGCCGAUGUCACACUGCCGAGAAAAGCUUCUAAGGAGUAGUUAACUGCCCGUACCGCAAACCGACACAGGUAGUCGAGGAGAGAA